rnacentral:lncRNA from 1 species
CAUAGCUGAAGGCGGAGCUGCCUCGCAGACACCUGACAAAAGUUGUUUUCCAACGAAGGGUUCUAUUUAGUCCUUACACAUGACCUGUGUAUUUUCUCUCCUGGAAUUUGAUAUCUCAGGAAACCUGCCAAGCACUAUUCACCAGGGAGGUUCACAGGCCCUCAUCCUCUCCAGCAAGCUCACCUCCUAUUGACCAAGUCCUCUAAGAAGCCAGUUCCCCUGCAAUCAUGAAUUCUGCCUUGGGGAAGGACUUCUUUGUACAUUGGUAUGCCUCUCUCCCUUCGUGACGAGAAAGAGUGAGAGCUCCAGAGAAUCUGAGCAGUGUGUCGAG